rnacentral:lncRNA from 1 species
UGGUUUUCCUUGGCCAGUAGUCAGUUCAGAAUCCAUGUGUGUCUACUUGGUGACCAAAGGCAGGCCACCCAGGUCACCCACCCACCAGGCCACUCAGAACUUCACCUUCCCUGCUGCCUCCUUGCCUUGGACUUUCAUUUUCCUGUCUUCCUGAUUUCUCUAUCUUUGGGUCUCUCCCAUUAUGAUGAAUAUAUUUCCUCAAGCCUCUUCACUUAUUUUUAGAGUAAGGAAGAAUACAAGUGAUAGAAACAUUUUGUUGCUGCUUUGCAUGAGGAAAAAAACAGCAAAAGAAGACAAUGUUUUAUUUCUUUUUUGAGAGGCCUUCAUUUUUUAUUAGGUUUAUAGAUCAGCCUUCCUUUCAAAUAAUCACUUCAUAUGUUUUUGUUGUUGUUGUUUUUCACUAACAUUUGGCCAACUCGUCAGUUAUGAUGUAUCUAAAGAUUGGAAGCAAGAUUUCCUAAAGUUCAGAAGUGAAACUACAUGAACAAACAUGGAGGGCUCUGAGUAUAUUGACCAGAGAGGAGGGGAAAAUGCUGCCCUCUCCAUCGAAGCCCCAUUUCUUCUGCUCACAUACCCAGGAAGGGUGGCAGGUGCAGUGAGGUUAGCAGUACCCCUGAGGAAAAGGAGAAAUUCUAGACUGCUUUAUAUCAGAGCCGGGGAUUGCCUGCCAGAAAUAACUGAGACUGUCACCCUGAUUUGGCCUCUGAAAGCAUGUUCAUUCAAGCAAAGGUGGUGAAACUAUGCAGCCAGAAAGCACUUGCCUGGGGCUGUGGUUCUCAAACCUGAGACAGGAGAACCCCCCUGCUUGGCUACAGCCAGGGGCUCUGCCACAGCAGGUGUAGGCUGGGCUGGAUCAUCUGCAUGUGUAACAAGUUCCUGGAUGAUGCCGUGUUGCUGGUCUGGUGUGUGGCUGUGCAGGGCAUGGUGACUCUGCUGGACAGAACAUACAUCCUUUCCCUGUGUGAGUGUCCAAACUCCUGACAUCAGCUGGUGGGUGGCUCAGGGGAAACAGUUCUCCCUGCUGCCUCCCAGCAGAGCCCCUCCAUACCCAACUCAAGCCAACCAGAAAUAUAGUUUUUUAAAAAAACUUAAAGGUUUGCAAAGAGGAGAAUUCAGCUGUGAAGACUAGUAAAACAGACCAAAAGCUAGUUAAGAAGUCUGCUUCUAGAGAGAAAACUUGUCGUCAAUUAACAAAAGCUAUUUUUGCUUAUAUUGCUGAUGCUUUUGUUGUAUGUCCAAAAAAUCAUUACCAAGACCAAUCUAAAGGAGCUUUUUCCCUGUUUUCUUCUAGGAGUUUUACAGUUUCAGGUUUUACAUUUAAAUACUCAAUCCAUUUUGAGUUAAUUUUUGUAUAUGAUGUAAGGUAAAGGUACAAUUUUAUUCUUUUUUUAUGUGAAUAAACAGUUUUCCCAGCACUAUUUAUUGAAGAGACUAUCUUUUCUCGAUUGUAUUCCUGGCAUCUUUGUCCAAGAGUAGUUGACCUUAUAUGGGUGGGUUUGUUUCUGGGCAUUCAGUUUGGUUCCAUUGGUCUAUAUGUCUGUUUUUAUUGUUCCAUUGGUCUAUGUGUCUGUUUUAACAGUACCUUGCUGAUUUGAUUACUAUAGCUUUGUAAUAUAGUUUGAAAUCAGAUAGGUGAUGACUUUAGUUUUGUUCUUUUUUCUUAAGAUUGCUUUGGCUAUUUGGGGUCUUUUGUGCUUCCAUUUGAAUGUUAGGAUUGUUUUUCUUUUAUUGCAGAAUUAUUCACAAUAGCCAAGAUAUGGAACCAACCUAAGUAUCUGUCAACAGAUGAAUGGAUAAAGAAAAUGUGUCAUAUAUGUACAAUGAAAUAUUUUUAAGCCAUAAAAAUAGAAGGAGAUCCUGAAAUUUGUAACAACACAGAUGAACAUGGAGGACAUUAUGCUAAGUAAAAUAAGCCAGACACAGAAAGACAAAUACCAUAUGAUCUCACUUACAAGGAAAAUCUUAAAAAGUUAAAUUUAUAGAAGCAGAGAGAAGAAUGGUGGUUGCUAGAGGCUGGGGGCUGGGGGAAAUGGGGCGAUGUUGGUCAAAUUGUACAAACUUGUAGUUGUAAGAUGAAUAAGUUCUGAGGAUCUAAUGUACAGCAUGGUAAUAUAGUUAGCAAUACUAUAUUGUAUAUUUGAAAUUUGCUAAGAGAUUAGAUCUUAAGUAUCCUCACUGCCCCCUGUGCGCACACACCAUGAUAAUUGUGUGAGGUGAUAGAUGUGUUCAUUAAUUGUAUUAUGAUCAUUUCACAAUGUAUGUGUAUAUCAAAUCAUCACAUUGUAUGCCUUAAAUAUAUACAAUUUUUAUCUGGCAAUUAUACCUCAAUAAGGCUGGGAAACAAAACCAAAAACAAACACCCCCCCACCAAAAAAAAAAAAACAAGUGAAAUCAAGAGAAGUUCGCACUGUCCAUGGCAAGCAGUGGUAACAGGAAGAUUCAGCCUAUUCCCUGGGGAUGAGUAAUAACCAUGGGAUGAGAAGUGACCAGAAAUAGCAAAGCACAGCCGCUUCUCCCAGCUGGUUUCAGGAAGCAGCAGACUCUGCGGUAGGGGCUUUAGAGCGCAGACCACGUCCCGCACGGAGCAGGGGAAAUUGUCAUUAUUCAGGAGUGAAGGCUUCUCUGUACCAUCUGUCUGUCCUUGACAGAGUAUUCUAAAUAUUCCCCUUGAUUUGAAUAUCUGCAGCAUCCAUUUCCCAGCCAACGAAGACAGUGUAGUGAGGAAGCAGACGUGUCGCAGGCUUCCUGGAACUUGCCCAGAACCUGGGAACCUGUACGGGUUCGUCCAGGCAGCAUCUCUGCUUGCCUUUCCCUCCACUUGAUUUUUACCAACAUCAGCCUUUUCUGUCCCCAGUAGAAUGUGCAACAUCCCCCUGAACUCUGCCCUGCUCCAUCUUCCUUGGAGGAUCGUGGUUGCUCUGGGCACCAUAGAGCCCCAUGGAUCCAGAAUACUGAAUGAGAAGAGGGAAGGGCUUGGGAAGUCAUGAGGAUCUAAUGGAGGAGCUGGGGAUGUGUCCUGUAGAGAGGAGAGCUCUCAUUUCAGGCCUGUCCUUCCUUUUGCUCUUAAGGGCUCACUCACCCACGCCGUGCAGACUUUCAAGGGCCUCUGCAGAGUGAGAGAUGUCAUAGGCACAGGUUGCUCUUGUCCUGCAUCAUGGCAGGUGGGGAGGCUCCUGUCUGGGAGGCAGGCAUCGUCCAGUCCAGGUGAGAAAAGCUCUCUCGAGGGACAGCCCCAUGACAACGUGGGGCCGGUCAGGACCCCCUUGCAUGCCUUUCUGAGAACACGUCCAGGUGGAGGCUGGUCACUGUCCGCCAGGGUCUUUGCUAAGGGACUUCCUUCCAAUGGUAGAAGAUAAAACUAAAUUACCUUAACAUUUCUUCUAACCUGGAUUUAAAAACUUGAUUUUGUGCAAAUACCUACACUUACAAAAAAUAAACCAUUGAAAUAAUUAUUUUAAUAGAAAAAGAGAGACCACUGGCAUGACAAAACUUUGAGGAUAGCAAACAAAAGCCAUAAAAUAUUUUUGUGAAGCAAUGAAAAGAUUCAUACUUAAAAGAUGAACUCUUUCCAAAGAAAUAGCUAGACGUUUAGGGUAUUGAAAUGGAGAAUAUCUACCCUCCUACAAGUUUUACCCAAGGGGAUGUAACUUCUGACAGGGUUCCUAAACUUUUAAUGCAGAGUGUGCGCUUUGUGAUUUAGUUUUGGUUAGUUUCUUGGGAAAAUUAUCAUUUUUCUUCUAAAAUAGCAACACUUGAAGUCUAAUUUUUAAUUAUAACUUGUAGCUAAAGCUGUUUUCCAUGGGAAAAAAAUGUCUGAUUUUAUCAUAGAAAUCAAUGCAGAAAUAGGGUUUAGUUUCCUGGAGCUUACUUUGCAGGCUAUGGAGCAGAACUAUUCUUAAAGCCAAUUGGAGAACCCUGGACUGAUGGCCUCAGUCCCUGGGCGUCAUCUUCCAGACUGAGCAUGUCUCACUUUGGCAUGGCCUUCUCUGUAGCUGGGCUGGUGGUCCAGUCAUGGACCCCUGUGUGUGUGGGCCUUGAAGCCCACACAGCUUCCUCCAGAUGCAAACGCAUUACCACCCUUACAAAGCAGCAAGAACAAACCUGGGGUUUCUUUCGGAUAGUUUUGAGGGUCUUCAUGGGGAAAAAAAUAGGAGGAGAACAAGUAGGCUUCUAAGAGACUCUAAAACAUAUUGAAUUAGUGCUUCCCUCGGACACACUUGUCAACCAAGAUAUGCAGGUACUUCUGGAAGGCGAAUCCCAUCAAACCUCCUUCCAAAUUUAAGAAUGGAGCUGGGUAGAGCUAUGUGGGUGUGCAGUGCUUCCCACCAACCAAACCACUCAGGACGCUGCUUCCCCAGUGAUCAGCACCAGAGUUUACCUGGCACUUUCCACCUGGCCAUGUCUGCAACUCAGAGCAGAGGCUAAGGGAGUCCGCCUGCACAGGACAUUCAGAAACACGGGAGGGUUUCAAGGUUCACGCCUCUUUGGCAUUUCCCAGGCUCCCCUCACGGUGUCGGCAGUGCCCACAUCGCAAACUUCAGGAGAUGGGAGCGAGAGGGGCCUGUUGGGUGACCAAGCUGUCAUGGCUGCUGGGUUCCCUCUUUGCUGCCUGUCAGCCUCACCCCUGGGCAUCCCCCACCUGCUGGUCACAGACUCCGCCUGCCUUAACUCUGGCUCUGAGGGGCAAUAAAUGAGCAGGAUGGGUCCUUGGCCCGCAGGGAAGAGGGGGCAACCCUAGGGCUGUGAUGUUAUUUUAUAACAUUUAUUUUUUUCUCGUUACAGAAUGAAUAUGUGUUCAUGGUGGAAAAAUUGUAAGAAUAGAACCAGGAAAAAAAAUGGGCUAUACCUAUUCUGGCCCACUUAGGUCACCAUCGUCUCCUUGCUUCUACUUCAAAGCCCCGUGGCUGCCUCCCACCCAGUGGCGGGGCAUCAUUUAAAAGGGACCAUUUUUCUACUGAAGCCCCUCCAUGCACUUAGUAUGAAAUCCAAAUCCUCUGGCCUGGUGGACGUGCCCUCCUUCUUUUGAAUGUUGUUCUCACUGUCCUUUACCUCUGUGCCCCUCAUUGUCUGUGCCGUCCCCAUGUGGGAGACAUCCCGUCCCCUCAAUCGUUAGAGCUGUGGAGAGCUGGCCCCGUACCCUCCACCCCUUUCUCUACGUUACACCUGCUUUACUCUCAGAACAGUCUUACCACCAUCUGCAGUUAUCGUUUUUAGUUACUUGUUCACUGCCCUUUCCCACUGAGAGGGUCAGCGUCAUGAGAUCAGAACUUGUCAAGUCGGUGCUUCGUCGGCGAGGUGAGGAGUGAGCUCCUCGAGGUCACCUGCGGGUUGGGGAUGUGACAGUUUCUGAGCGGCAGUGUUAAGUUGUCCUCCAAAGAGUCUGCACCAAUUUCCACGUCCACCAGCAUGCUCGGGAGCGUGUCCAUUUUCUCCACCCCUUGCGAGGCCUGUGGGGAUCUUGGACCUGGUUCCCGUGAGCAGCCUCUUGCGACAGCCAUAGGUUGAUGUUCACUGUCUGUGUGGGUUCUUGGUUACCCCUGCAUCAAACAUCAACUCUGUGAUGAAUCCACUUAUUCCCAACCACUGCUUUUCAAAGUCACCCCGUCUUCCUUCCCCUUUCCUCUGAGUUUCCCUGAAAGAGAUGAAAUUUCUCAGAAGGAUUCGGUUGCCUUUAAGGUGCCAUGACGUGCCCGGUGGCCCUGAAUUAAACACCACACCACAUGGUUACACCCAGGCUGACUGGCUGCCCAUGCACUUCUCACGAACGGCACGUGCUCCAUACUUGUGUGUGUUUUCUGCUUCCAUCAUCACUGCAACCCAGAGACAGAGUUUCUAUAUUUCCUGUUUUGCAGAUGGAAACUGAUUUUUAAGCUGCACAGCUACUAAAUGCGUGAACCAGGAUUUGAGUCUAAUGUCUCCCUUGCAUUUAUGACUUCAUUCAUUCUGUGUCUAUACCAUGUGCAGCCCUGCUAUGUGGGAGUGUGAGAUGCACUGUGCCAAGUGCUGAGAAUGCAAUUCUGAACAAGACAUACUUCCUGUCCUUGCAGAGUUUACACUUCAGUAGGGAGGACUGCUGUUAGACAAAUAACUCUAAGCUUUAAAUCACAACUGUAAUGAGUACAACAAAGAAGAAAUACAGAGAGCCAUUAAAACAUAAAACAGGGCUUGGGAACCAUUCUAGGGAUUCAAGGAAGGUUUGGAGAGAGAGUCCUGUAAAGGGGAGCUGAGGUGCCCCAGCCACCCCAGUCCCCAGCCCCCAGCCCCAAGACCUUUCAGCCCAGCCCAUCCUCAGCUCAAUUUAGCCACAUGAGUGACCCUGAGCAAAACCAACAGAGGUCAAACCACUAUAAGAAACACACACGAUUGUUUUUAAGCCACUAAGUUUUGGGGUGGUUUUAUACACAGUGAUAGAAAACCAAAAUAGAAUUCAAUGGCUAAACAGAAAAUUACAUCUUACAUUUUUGCUUGUGGUCACUUGGACUGAAGUGCUCAGUAAAGUCAAUGUUUUUGCAGCUCAUUUGCUGCCAUUAUAAGACAGAAUAUAGCAUAUUAGCCAUUGAAGCCUUCUAGGUCUUUAAGGGUAGAAUGAUUACUUUUACAGGCACUUGGAUAAAUGGAAGAAAAAGAAGUUCAAAUCCCAACAUAUGUCCCCAAACCAAGGUCUUCCGAAGGUGUGUGUUAAUAGAAUCUCUUCUUCUUCCCACAGGGUGAUAGUGGCCAAGAAUCAGAAGUAGAGUUGGAUCCAGUGGCUUGCCGAGCUGGGGGAUAGAGGCAUUGAAUGCUGGAGUAGGGAGAUAUGGGGGGGAUGGGAAGCCUCAGAGCACCUGAACCCAGCCACUUGCACGCAUACACUCCCUAUGUUUCUUUUUGAAGAUGCUGUCAUGUCCUGGCCGGAGAGAAUUACCCUGAAAGAGGACAGAUCUACAAUUAUGCUCAAUCCUUGGGUGGGUGCAUUUCAGAGUCAAAUCACACGGGAGAAAGCGUUCUGUGGUAGUUUUAACACGACUGCAUUUCCAUGUGGUCUCGCCUUGAACCUGGGUGGGCCUUCGUGAUGCUCUGUGACUUCUGAGGCUUGGUGAGCUGAGCCCACACAGCUGUGCCUGUUUCUCUUGGGACAUUUGCUCUAGGGACCUCCAGCUGUCCUGUAAGAAGUCCAGCUAUGCUGGGGCUGCUGGGUGACAGGAAUACAUAGAUGAAUGGGUGAGAGGCCUCACCAGUGGCAGCUUCCAGAAGUUUGAGUCUUUCAAGCCCAGGAGCCAGACAUAUGAAUGAGGAAACCUCAAAGGCUUCUUGAAGAUGUCUCUCCGUUGCUACCGUCUGACUGUAACCACAUGAGAGACCUUGGUGAGAACUGUCCGGCUAAGCUCAGUCAAGCCACAGAAUGAGGAGAGAGGCCCUGUCAAGGAACUGUGGGUAUCCUCUGGUCGGCAGCCAGAGAGAAACAGAGGACCUUGGAAUAACAGCCUUCAAGAAGCAUUAUUUUGCCAACAGCCAUGUGAGUUAUCUUGGAUGCAGAUCAUUUCCCAGUUGAGCCUUCUGAUGAGACUGCAGACCCAGUUUCCACUUGAUUGCAGCCUUACAAGAGACUGAAGCUGAGGACCUAAAUAAGUCAUACCCAGAUUUCUCCUCCAAAGAAACUGUGAGAUAAUAUGUGUGCAUAUUUUAAACUGACAAACUUCAGGGUACUGUGAUUCAUAGCAACAGAUCAGCAAAGCACACACUAAGUGUCUCAAAUGUUCAUGAUAUAAUAGCAUAAAAGUAAUAAAACAAGUGGACAAACAAAUCUAUGAUCAAUGAAUGUCAUGAAAUGUCUCAGAGACAACUGGGUAACCACAUGAAGAAGUUGUCCCAUGUACAUGUGAGGGCCAAUGAGUUAAAGGAGCCCUAGUUAGCUAGUUUGAUUUCAUGGGGGUUACUCUUGGUUGCAUAAAUUUAAUUAUUUAUUUAUUUAUUUUUUUGAGAUGGAGUCUUACUUUGUCACCCAGGCUGGAGUGCAGUGGCACAAUCUUGGCUCACUGCAACCUCUGCCUCCCGGGUUCAAGCAAUUCUCCUGCCUCAGCCAUAAGAGUAGCUGGGACUACAGGCACAUGCCACCAUGCCUGCCUAACUUUUGUAUUUUUAGUAGAGACAGGGUUUCACCAUGCUGGCCAGGCUGGUCUCGAACUCCUGACCUCAUGAUCUGCCUGCCUCAGCCUCCAAAAGUGCUGUGAUUAGAGGCAUGAGUCACCAUACCUGGCUGGUUGCAUAAAUUUAUACAGUAUAUUUUACUUCUUUGUCUGACUUCCUGCUAUUUCCCUCCCUACUGAUCGUUUUGUGGGCUGAUUUUUUUUUGUAAUUUUAAUUGAAUCAUGUUAUGCUGUAUAUGAAGUGAAACCUUUAAUGGGAUAAAUCAAACUAAAUAAAAUGUUUACUUAUAAGGAACUCAUUUUUGAGGACUCAUUUGGACCCAAUUCUCUUCCUGGAUCUGGUAGCAAAUUGAAAAAUGUGCCAUCUUGGUCCAGUUCCCAGUUGUUACAGUCUUUUUGAUAUGAUUUAAAUGCCAGUGUAGAGUUCUGAAAAGAACUUGGUCUCCUCUUUGCCUGCAGUUUAUCAUUCUGUCUCCUUUUGGAUGAAUUGUGUGUCAUUCCUAUAAAAAUACCACAGUUGAAAACAAGCAUUUCCCAGCCAUGAGCAGUAUGCUUCCUGAAAGCAUAUUCCCUGGAAGGGAAUGACAUUGCCUAUUUUUUCUAUUGAUCUGAGACAUAGUGGGUAGGACAGAGAGCAAUUAAAGAAUUGGCAUAAUAUAGGGUUUCUCUGUCUCAGCACUUGUGGCGUUUUGGACCAAAUAGUCAUUUAUUGUGAAGGGCUGUCCUGUGCACUGUAGGAUACUUACCAGCAUCCCUGACCUUUACCCACUCAUUGCUAGUAGCACUCUCAGGUCAUGACAACC